rnacentral:rRNA from 1 species
AGCGAACGCUGGCGGCAGGCCUAACACAUGCAAGUCGAACGGACCCUUCGGGGUUAGUGGCGGACGGGUGAGUAACACGUGGGAACGUGCCUUUAGGUUCGGAAUAGCUCCUGGAAACGGGUGGUAAUGCCGAAUGUGCCCUUCGGGGGAAAGAUUUAUCGCCUUUAGAGCGGCCCGCGUCUGAUUAGCUAGUUGGUGCGGUAAUGGCUCACCAAGGCGACGAUCAGUAGCUGGUCCGAGAGGAUGACCAGCCACAUUGGGACUGGGACACGGACCAAACUCCUACGGGAGGCAGCAGUGUGGAAUCUUGCGCAAUGGGCGAAAGCCUGACGCAGCCAUGCCGCGUGGAUGAUGAAGGGCUUAGGAUUGUAAAAUCCUUUCACCGGUGAAGAUAAUGGCUGUAGCCGGAGAAGAAGCCCCGGCUCAGUUCGUGCCAGCAGCCGCCGUAAUAC